UACGUAGGUGGCAAGCGUUGUCCGGAAUUAUUGGGCGUAAAGCGCGCGCAGGUGGUUUCUUAAGUCUGAUGUGAAAGCCCACGGCUCAACCGUGGAGGGUCAUUGGAAACUGGGGGAACUUGAGUGCAGAAGAGGAAAGUGGAAUUCCAAGUGUAGCGGUGAAAUGCGUAGAGAUUUGGAGGAACACCAGUGGCGAAGGCGACUUUCUGGUCUGUAACGUGACACUAGGCGCGAAAGCGUGGG
rnacentral:rRNA from 1 species